GAUGAAGAACGUAGCGAAAUGCGAUAAGUAGUGUGAAUUGCAGAAUUCAGUGAAUCAUCGAAUCUUUGAACGCACAUUGCGCCCCCUGGUAUUCCGGGGGGCAUGCCUGUCCGAGCGUCAUUGCUGCCCUCAAGCACGGCUUGUGUGUUGGGCCUCCGUCCUCCUCCCGGGGGCCGGGCCCGAAAGGCAGCGGCGGCACCGCGUCCGGUCCUCGAGCGUAUGGGGCUUCGUCACCCGCUCUUGUAGGCCCGGCCGGCGCUUGCCGACACAUCAAUCUUUUUUCCAGGUUGACCUCGGAUCAGGUAGGGAUACCCGCUGAACUUAAGCAUAUCAAUAAGCGGAGGA
rnacentral:misc_RNA from 1 species